rnacentral:rRNA from 1 species
UACAGAGGGUGCAAGCGUUCAUCGGAAUUACUGGGCGUAAAGCGUGCGUAGACGGUUAUUUAAGUAAGGUGUGAAAUCCCCGGGCUUAACCUGGGAACUGCAUUUGUGACUGCAUGGCUGGAGUGCGGCAGAGGGGGAUGGAAUUCCGCGUGUAGCAGUGAAAUGCGUAGAUAUGCGGAGGAACACCGAUGGCGAAGGCAAUCCCCUGGGCCUGCACUGACGCUCAUGCACGAAAGCGUGGGGAGCAAACAGG